GGGGUGGUGGCUCAGUGGUAGAGCGCUUGCCUAGCAUGCAUGAGGCACUGGGUUUGAUCCUUGUCACCACA
rnacentral:tRNA from 1 species